AGAGGGAAGAUGGCGGCGGCCGUGAACCAGCGUGGCCUUAACCAGCCAUAGUUAUGAUAUUAUAAGGCUCCUUUCCAUGUAGACCUGUGGGUGUCUGCCUGACCUGUAGUCUGAAGAUGCUCUUUCUGAAGUCUUAGGAGGGCCCCUCAGUGAGGAUGCCCGAAGCUGAAGGCUUUACUUCUGUUUCAAGGCAGUGAACAAGACGUGUGGUCUGAAGAUACACAACACCGAGACAGGACUGUGUGGUGCUCACAUGCCACGAGCAGAGUUCAAACAGCAUCCAAGCCCUAAAGACCAGAGCCAUGGACCAAUAUGGUGGAUGGCAUGUGUGCGCUUGUUCCAGAAGUGCUACUCAUCAUGGAGGCAAAUCCUGACUUGAAUCCUGGGCAUUAGCAGGACAGUUGGGAGCCUGAAAGAUAUUUGAAUAAGGGGCUGGCGAAAUGGCUCAGUGGUUAAGAGCGCCGACUGCUCUUCUGAAGGUCCCGAGUUCAAAUCCCAGCAACCACAUGGUGGCUCACAACCAUCCGUAACGAAAUCUGAUGCCCUCUUCUGGAGUGUCUGAAGACAGCUACAGUGUACUUACAUAUAAUAAA
rnacentral:lncRNA from 1 species